rnacentral:rRNA from 1 species
UACGUAGGGUGCAAGCGUUAAUCGGAAUUACUGGGCGUAAAGCGUGCGCAGGCGGUUUUGUAAGUCUGACGUGAAAUCCCCGGGCUCAACCUGGGAAUUGCGUUGGAGACUGCAAGGCUAGAAUCUGGCAGAGGGGGGUAGAAUUCCACGUGUAGCAGUGAAAUGCGUAGAGAUGUGGAGGAACACCGAUGGCGAAGGCAGCCCCCUGGGUCAAGAUUGACGCUCAUGCACGAAAGCUUGGGGAGCAAACAGG